rnacentral:rRNA from 1 species
UACGAAGGGGGCUAGCGUUGCUCGGAAUCACUGGGCGUAAAGGGUGCGUAGGCGGGUCUUUUAAGUCAGGGGUGAAAUCCUGGAGCUCAACUCCAGAACUGCCUUUGAUACUGAGGAUCUUGAGUUCGGGAGAGGUGAGUGGAACUGCGAGUGUAGAGGUGAAAUUCGUAGAUAUUCGCAAGAACACCAGUGGCGAAGGCGGCUCACUGGCCCGGAACUGACGCUGAGACGCGAAAGCGUGGGGAGCAAACAGGG